rnacentral:tRNA from 2 species
GGGAGUGUGCCCGAGCUGGCCAAAGGGAUCAGACUGUAAAUCUGACGGCGUAUGCCUACGGUGGUUCGAAUCCACCCGCUCCCA